AAAAAGAUAAGCUAAGUAAGCUUUUGGGUUCAUACCUCAACUAUAAAAAUUUUAAUUUUUUUCUUUUUA
rnacentral:tRNA from 1 species